UCCCUGAUGGCUCAGUGAUAAAGAAUCUGCCUGCAAUGCAGGAGACAUGGGUUCGAUCCCUGGUCAGGAAG
rnacentral:tRNA from 1 species